UUUUUUUCUUUCUCUCCUUCGGUUUCUCUUCUCUCCUGCGAAAGGCGAUUCAAUGGCGGGCUCUAUCGGUUGGUCUUCUCUCGUCUCGCUCUAUUCGUCGUUACACCUCUUCUUACUCUUAUCCUCCAUCGUCUUCUCCACUAUCGUCUCCUCUCUGUUUCAAGCUUCUCUUUGGUCAAACAACAGGUCUGGUGAGCAAGCGUGCACUGCUUAUGUGAUGUUCAAGGAUUCUUAUUCUCAAGAAACUAAAGUUUUACUCACUGUAUAAGACCGUGUACAACGAGAGAGGAGAGGUUUCUGGGGAACAACACGUUGAAUGGUUCAUUGCCCACUCAAAAGAGCCAGACUUUGAGCAAUAUGACUGAGCUGCCUGCAGAAAGACUUCCCUUGCAAUCGAGGCAAAGCAUUAUAUUCUGAAUUUUCGAUCAACUGCGGAGGCCCACCAAUACGGUUUGUUAGCGGAGCAUUAUUUGAGAGGGAGGACGAGGAGCUGGGACUAGCUUCAUU